UCAUUCUUCCACCAAGCGUUCAUGCUGUGCCAGCAAGGGCCGGUCUCGACCAAUAUCAACCUAAAACCAGAUUGCUCAUUUCAGAGACGGUUUUGUCUGCUUAACAAUAUCAAGCAGAGAAGAAGAGGGUUCAUAUUUCCUCUGAAGAAGCAGGAAGACUCAUGCUGUUUUAGCCAAAAAAGCGGCAAUGGCGGAUAAGAACAAAUUUUCCGUUUUAUUCAAAUGUACAAUAAGUGAACUUCAACAGAGCACAGUGGAGCCACGACCGAAAAUGAGAGAAAGAAAGAUCGAUAAAGCUGUACCAUAAGUAUGAUAUCACUCAGCAAAGCCUGUCCCAGUGUGUGUGAGGCAAGCCUGAAAAACUGUACGAAGUAAAUCUUUAUGUUCAUCGGCUUAUUGUUAAACAACGAGUAAGACUACAAUGGGCAACCACCGGAGGGGAAUUCAAAAAUGCUGUGACACUUUGUUGGCAGUUAACAAGGCGUUAAACUCAAACAGCAGGUGAAGGUUCACAAGCUAGAAUCCUUGUUUGACAUAUGAUGCGUUCAUCAAAAGAAAAACCUCAACGUUAUUUCACAACUGGAAUUGACAGAACAAGAUAUCAUGUCCAUGCAGUGCUAAGAAGAGGACUUCAGUUCACAUUUCAGAGUUAACGUAACGAUACCUGCAUCUCAGAGCAAUUUCGAUUGUGUGUUGGAAGUAAUUAUGAAUUGUUUUGGUUUACCUCACUACGCUCUGUGAUUGGGCUAAAAAAACUCGCGCCCAAUUUCCAACCAAUCGGAUGAAAAACUAAAACCAAUCCCGACUUGGUCAUUAGCGUUUUCCCGCGUUUGAAGCAGUUUCCAUGGUUUUGGUUUGGGUUGCUAUUGGCUAAUUGGGAUAUUAUCCUUUAUUCUGACUGAUCGAUGUGAUUUCUCUGGUCCUGGUCUCACGACAUUCAAUCGAAAAGCUCUUUACUGGCUCAUAGCCUCGCCAAGCUCUAAGAAUGGUUUGAAAAGAUGGGCAACAACUUGUUUACUAAUGAUAACUUGACAACACACUCAACCUCUGCCUGCGACAGUAAUCAAGGGCUCUUUACUGAACAUGACAUGAUCUAAAGAACAGCUGGCUGAGCACACUCAAUAAUCACAUGAGAGAAGCUAAAUCUAAACCACUUUUCCUACUACCAAAUCACAGACUAACACGGUUCUUCACAAAUUACCUGAUCACAUACCAGAAGGAUAACUCAGAUGUUCGCCACUAACAUUGCAGAUGUUGCAAAAUCAACAAUUAAGCAUCACAAAUAACCAUAACUGUCACGUUGUACUAACACUUUGUUUUUUAACAUAGGCACACAUUCCAUGUAAACUUCCAAAUAACUGCAGGCACAUUACACUUAAUUAAAUGCUGAUGUCCAAACUCAUCUAACUCCAUAACACAAAAUUGUUAAGUAUUUCGUACCAAGUGCCUCAUAACACAAUCAGUAACGAUUUUGCUCAAAUUCGACCAUGCAUUUAGAAAUAAUGUUGCUUCAUGUUGUUCAGAUUUGAAUUUAGUUGAGGAAACCAAUACUAACGAGUUUGCCAUAAGGAGUUUUGAUACUUUUAAACUAUUAUCUGGCAAUAUCUGAUUUUCUUCACGAGUCUAAUAAGCAAAUGCUCUGUGACAUGUCAUUCACAUAGAUAAGAAUCCACGUGAUUACCAAGCGUAAUUCAAUAUGCGUCAUUCAUAUAGGCAGACGUGCUUUUAAAAGUAGGAAUGCUCGAAAUUACUCGGGAGCUAACGUUCACUUCUUUGAAAGCUUUGCACCAGAAAGACAAGUUUGUCUUUCGUCAUUCAUUUGAAACCAAAUAUUCCUUAUUACUUUCAUCCACGGUUUCUAAUCUUGAUAUCCCUCAUUUAGCUAAUAUCAUGUCAGGAUCUAAAAUGCUACUAAUGCUUACUGGAAUAUUGCUUAACCAGUCAAUAAGACAAAAACUAAAGAAAGCUUUUAAUACCGCUGAACUUAACACCACAGUAAUACCAAUCAUAUUGACACAGAGUAAUCCAAGUUGUCUACAAAUGAAAGGCAAAGCUUAAUGUCGAUACAUAUGUAAUAUCAGCACCUUACAAUCAGAUGUUUCAAGACUAAUCCUAAUCAUAAUUUUAUUUAGCCUGACUAACUUCAAUAAUUUUGCUUUAAUUCUGAGACGUAACAAUUUUUUAAACGCUAUACUCUUGCUCCGCUCUAUUUCUUCUAGCUGCAAUUGCUAAUUCCAUAUCUAAUAACAAGGUUCGACUCUAACAGUAACUCCGAUAUUAAUGCUUGUGCUACUAAUAAUUGAUUUACUAGCAUGACUCCACCUCUUAAAUUCUGAUACUGGUGCUAACAGCCUUGCUUCUAACGCUUACAUUUCCAUGCUAAUACUAACAGCCAUUUUAACUGCGAUACUAAUUCUUUAUCUGAAAACUAAUUUAAUAAAAAGUUGCCAAGCAUUA